rnacentral:rRNA from 1 species
GACGAACGCUGGCGGCGUGCUUAACACAUGCAAGUCGAACGGUGAAGCUCCAGCUUGCUGGAGUGGAUCAGUGGCGAACGGGUGAGUAACACGUGAGCAACCUGCCCCAGACUCUGGAAUAAGCGCUGGAAACGGCGUCUAAUACUGGAUACGAGAUCAAGCCGCAUGGUUAUGGUCUGGAAAGUUUUUCGGUUUGGGAUGGGCUCGCGGCCUAUCAGCUUGUUGGUGAGGUAAUGGCUCACCAAGGCGACGACGGGUAGCCGGCCUGAGAGGGCGACCGGCCACACUGGGACUGAGAAACGGCCCAGACUCCUACGGGAGGCAGCAGUGGGGAAUAUUGCACAAUGGGCGAAAGCCUGAUGCAGCGACGCCGCGUGAGGGAUGACGGCCUUCGGGUUGUAAACCUCUUUCAGCAGGGAAGAAGCGAAAGUGACGGUACCUGCAGAAGAAGCACCGGCUAACUACGUG